UACGUAGGGGGCUAGCGUUGUCCGGAAUCAUUGGGCGUAAAGCGCGUGUAGGCGGCCCGGUAAGUCCGCUGUGAAAUCCCCGGGCUCAACCCGGGAACUGCGUCCGAUACUGGCAGGCUUGAAUCCGGGAGAGGGAUGCGGAAUUCCAGGUGUAGCGGUGAAAUGCGUAGAUAUCUGGAGGAACACCGGUGGCGAAGGCGGCAUCCUGGACCGGUAUUGACGCUGAGGCGCGAAAGCCAGGGGAGCAAACGGG
rnacentral:rRNA from 1 species